AACAAGUGUUACCCCAUCACGUCCACCCUUAUCUCCCCAGCAGGGCUCCGGACAACCGCACCAGCAGCCCCUGUCUUCUGCAUGUCAGCCCUGGCUCAUAUGGAGUACACCCUCUUAUUGAGCAGAGCUAACCUUGAUGAGAGACAGCCCCCCAGAUGGCAGCAACACAAGAGACACAGAAAGACAGGAAGUAAAGACAAGUAAAGACAAUGCCUUUACAUGAAGG
rnacentral:lncRNA from 12 species